CYKKAACGGGCAGUGAAUAGAACCUGAACCGGUGCCUACAAACAGUCGGAGCCCGCAAGGGUGACGGCGUACCUUUUGUAUAAUGGGUCAACGACUUAGUGUGGCAUGCAAGCUUAAGCCGGUAGGUGGAGGCGUAGCGAAAGCGAGUCUGAACAGGGCGCUUUAGUAUGUCGCAUUAGACCCGAAACCGAGUGAUCUAGCCAUGAGCAGGUUGAAGGUUGGGUAACACCAACUGGAGGACCGAACCCGCAUCUGUUGCAAUAGAUUGGGAUGACUUGUGGCUAGGGGUGAAAGGCCAAUCAAACUCGGAAAUAGCUGGUUCUCCGCGAAAACUAUUUAGGUAGUGCGUCGACCGAAUACCCUCGGGGGUAGAGCACUGGAUGGGCUAUGGGGACUCACCGUCUUACUGAUCCUAACCAAACUCCGAAUACCGAGGAGUACUAGUCGGCAGACACACGGCGGGUGCUAACGUCCGUCGUGAAAAGGGCAACAACCCUGACCUCCAGCUAAGGUCCCCAAGUCAUGGCUAAGUGGGAAAGGAUGUGAGGAUCCCAAAACAACCAGGAUGUUGGCUUAGAAGCAGCCAUCAUUUAAAGAAAGCGUAACAGCUCACUGGUCUAAAUAAGGGUCUUUGCGCCGAAAAUGUAACGGGGCUGAAGCCAUGCACCGAAGCUGAGGAUACGUCGUAAGACGUGUGGUAGCGGAGCGUUCCGUAAGCCAGUGAAGGGAUACCCGUGAGGGGUCCUGGAGGUAUCGGAAGUGCGAAUGUUGACAUGAGUAACGAUAAAGAGGGUGAGAGACCCUCUCGCCGAAAGACCAAGGGUUCCUGCUUAAAGUUAAUCUGAGCAGGGUUAGCCGGCCCCUAAGACGAGGCGGACACGCGUAGUCGAUGGGAACCACGUUAAUAUUCGUGGGCCUGGUGGUAGUGACGGAUUGCUCAACUUGUCCGGACUUAUUGGAUUGUCCGGGCGGGACGCGGUUCAGGAAAUAGCUCCACCG
rnacentral:rRNA from 1 species